AGUGGGAUAGCUGGGUCAAAUGGUGGUUCCAUUCCCAGUUUUCCAAGGAAUCUUCAUACUGUUUUCCAGAUUAAUUGUACCAAUUUGCAGUCCCACCAGCAAU
rnacentral:pre_miRNA from 1 species